GGCAGGGGGUGCGCUGUCCUGUCAAGCUGAGGGGAGCGGCGGAGCCACCGGCCCCGCGGCGGGGCUUUGAGGGGACGCUGAGGCCCGAGGGAGCGCUGAGGCCCAGGGCCCGAGCCGAGAGCGGCCCGAGGCCUGUCAGGAGCCGGCGGGUCGGAGCGCAGGGAAGGAGCCGGCGCUCCCCGGGGGGUGAGGGGUGGCACCGGUCACGGCCCCAAAGGGAGCUCUGCCCCGGGACCCGGCGGACGGGAGCCGCCCAGCUCUGCUCCCCGGGGUGGGCUCUCCCCAGGCGCUGACAUGACAGCCCAGGCGAGUGGAUCCCCCAAGGCCAGGAUCCCCACCGUUUUCCCUGGAACACUGUUUCACAGCCCGGCCAUGGAACUCGGAGAUGGUGUCCAAAUUCUGUUGCUCUGAAAUGAAAAAUGUUAUGUUGAUCUUCUUCAAGUUUUUGUAUGCAUCACGAAAAUAUCAUCCCCAUUUUGGGAAAACCAACAGAUCGAUCCGUGACCCAAAAAAGGGCCCAGACUGCAGCAGUUCCACUGGAUGUCAUAACUUAGGAUUGCAAUGCACUGGCAGGGCUGUUUGGGGAAGCUUGCAUAACAUCUGUUUGCAACAUGCCUGAUUCAAACCAGCACUCCUCCUCUCGUCAACGCUGAUGACUUUUUAAAAGUAAAAUAAACUCCAUCGUUAUGCAAGCAAAUUGAUUUUCCCGGGUGCCUAUCCAGAUCUGCUUGAAGCAACAGAAAACCCACAACUUAAAAGCUAUUUAUUUUAUAUUUACUAAAUAUUUUUACCGUCCUUGUGUCCUUUCUUCUUCUUCUUUUUUUUUUUUUUUGGUGUUCUGAUCUCAUUCCUGUGAGCCAUACUCAAGUGAGUACUCUUUAUGACGCCAGAGGGACUACUCUUGUAGAGGGAUUGGUGUAGUUAAAAAUCCCCACUCACUGCUUCGAACAUUUUUAGUGCUGUAUUCUCAUUAUGUUAGCGUCGUAGGGAACGUGUAAAGACAUGCUUCAUUUUGGAUGUUUACUCCCCAGAUUGUUUUUCACAGAUGGUUUUAUUUUCAGGCUUCUUAGUUGUCUUGUUCCUCUUAGAAGGUGUGGCUGGAUAUCUUCACUCAAAGAUCUUAAUGGCUUUCUAGCUUCUAUGUAAGCGCCGUCGCCAUUUUUAAUACUGAACAAUAUAAAUAAAUGAAGCAUAAAUUACAAGGUUUGCUUGUUAGUUUUGUUUGUAGUUUUUGUUUGUAAUACUGAGACCAUGUUAACAUAGGAUUAAUAUUUUAUAUCACACAUACUUAGAGAUUUCAAUGUGGAUGAACAAUAAAAGAUGAAUUACUGUGGUAA